rnacentral:misc_RNA from 1 species
GCAUAGUGACCUAAAAGGU